rnacentral:rRNA from 1 species
GACGAACGCUGGCGGCGUGCUUAACACAUGCAAUUCUAACGGAGUGGCGAACGGGUGAGUAACACGUGGGUGAUCUGCCUUGCACUUCGGGAUAAGCUUGGGAAACUGGGGUUAAUACCGGAUAUUGCAAGAUGAGCUCGCGGCCUAUCAGCUUGUUGGUGGGGUAAUGGCCGACCAAGGCGUCGACGGGUAGCCGGCCUGCGGGUGUGUACGGCCAAAUGGGGACUGGGAUACGGCCCACGCCCCUACGGGAGGCAGCAGUGGUGAAUAUUGCACCAUGCGCGGACGUAUGAUGCAGCGACGCCGUGUGGGGGAUGAAGGCCUUCGGGUUGGAAACUCCUUUCGACAGGGACGCGGUACCUGUAUAAGAAGCACCGGCUAACUACGUGCCAGCAGCCGCGGUAAUUC